rnacentral:rRNA from 1 species
UACGGGGGGGGCAAGCGUUGUUCGGAAUUACUGGGCGUAAAGGGUUCGUAGGUGGCCAACUAAGUCAGACGUGAAAUCCCUCAGCUUAACUGGGGAACUGCGUCUGAUACUGGUUGGCUUGAGUGCAGGAGAGGAAUGCGGAAUUCCAGGUGUAGCGGUGAAAUGCGUAGAUAUCAGGAGGAACACCGGUGGCGAAGGCGGGUCUCUGGGCCGAUACUGACGCUGAGGAGCGAAAGCGUGGGGAGCGAACAGG